AUUGAACGCUGGCGGCAGGCCUAACACAUGCAAGUCGAGCGGAUGAAGGGAGCUUGCUCCUGGAUUCAGCGGCGGACGGGUGAGUAAUGCCUAGGAAUCUGCCUGGUAGUGGGGGAUAACGUCCGGAAACGGGCGCUAAUACCGCAUACGUCCUGAGGGAGAAAGUGGGGGAUCUUCGGACCCCACGCUAUCAGAUGAGCCUAGGUCGGAUUAGCUAGUUGGUGGGGUAAAGGCCUACCAAGGCGACGAUCCGUAACUGGUCUGAGAGGAUGAUCAGUCACACUGGAACUGAGACACGGUCCAGACUCCUACGGGAGGCAGCAGUGGGGAAUAUUGGACGAUGGGCGAAAGCCUGAUCCAGCCAUGCCGCGUGUGUGAAGAAGGUCUUCGGAUUGUAAAGCACUUUAAGUUGGGAGGAAGGGCAGUAAGUUAAUACCUUGCUGUUUUGACGUUACCAACAGAAUAAGCACCGGCUAACUUCGUG
rnacentral:rRNA from 1 species